CCCUCCUCGGAUACCUUCUGUUCUGGAUUUCUGGACCCUGACCCAAGCUUCGCCCCACGACCAUCGACUAUUGCCUGCCCCUCAAGCUAAGUUUGCUCCCUCCGAUCUCCUGUGUAUGACCUCUGCCUGGAUAACCGUCUUAGUCUCUUCCUGGAUUCUCUGCUCCACCCGUCCAUUGCACUACAGUGCUGUGUUGGAUGACCACAUCCUGAGCCGCACCAAUAGCUGAAAAUUUAAUUAAACCUUUUUCCUUUGCAA